rnacentral:rRNA from 2 species
GGUUGAUCCUGCCAGUAGUCAUAUGC